ACCCGAUAAUAGGUUUUUGGGGGUCAAAAACAACAAAAACAAAAUUGAUGCCUAAUUAUAGCUGACACUCUUACAUGCAUUUCCAAAAUGCUACAAUUUGUUCUAAUACCUUUGCUGGGUGCAGAGAUAUUAUCUUCUUGUGGAUAGGAUAGGUAUUUUCAUAAGGUAAAUGGAUCCGGGACUUUCGAGUCAAUUAUCUGGGGAAUCAUAGUAAUAGUUUACCAGAAGCAGGGUAAAAAUACCUACCCCUGGAAAAAAUCGAAAAUAUCGGAGAGUUUUUACUAGAGUUGUUACAAUUGGCCACAGCAUUGAAGUUUUUAGCGCUUGGAUCUUAGUAGACCAGUGUCGGAAAUGACUUCAAUAUUUCCAAAUUGUUUGGCUGUUUUUGUAUUCAUGGUCAAAUACAAAAUGAAAAUAUCAACGUGGACUAAAAAAUACAAUGUCGUCACAAUUUUUUACGGCGACAGAUAUUCUUUUAAAACAACGACUGUUGUAUCGACAAUGAUAAUAGCACUCAUUCAUCGCUAUCGACAACCCUAAUACCGUUAUUGUCUCCUCGACUUCAUUUUGCGACGACGACAACCGCAAUAGGGCGGAAUAUAUAUUUUUUAUAUGGUUCCAAGAGAAGAUAUUCUUGCAUAGUGCCGUUUGAAUCUGGAGGGUCGUAGUGAGGUAAGUACUUGGGAGAUUUACACAACUCCUGCGUCUCUAAAACAAAUAUAUUUAUUUUUAACAAUUCAAUUUGAAUGUUUGUUAGUUUGUUUAAUACGAUCACAUAGAAAAUAAGGAGGAGACGAUUUCAGGGUCCUAGUCUUCUCAAAGCCAUCGUCGUUGUCGAAACCGACGACUGCUAUUGACAAUAAACUUAGUAGUUUUGCACUAUUGUGGUUGAACUUUCCUUCCGUUUCCCGAAUAAGAAUAUAGUACAAUGAGGUGUCAAAACAUUUUUACAAUUCUAAAUUUUGAAUCAAAAAUUAUUUAAACCAGUUCCGAAUAAGAAUAUAGUACAAUGAGCUGUCAAAACAUUUUUACAAUUCUAAAUUUUGAAUCAAAAAUUAUUUAAACCAGUGAAAUUUGUGAAGAAUAACAUACCAUACAAACCUGUGGACGUGUUGAUGCAUCUACCUAUAUUCUUCUGCCAUGGAUUAUUAUGAAAAGUAGUCGUGAAGAUUUUGUAUAUAAACGAGCUUUUAUUUCCAAAACUCGGUAAGGUGCACAAUUUGGCAAAGGUGACAACAAAAGAGUAGACAUGCCAUUGACAUAAUAUACUUUCAAUAAAGAUCUGUACAUUCCCGAAGCAAUCCUGAUAUUCGCCACUAUUAUGACAAAAGGAU